AUUGCCCUAGUAACGGCGAGUGAAGCGGCAACAGCUCAAAUUUGAAAUCUGGCUUCGGCCCGAGUUGUAAUUUGUAGAGGAAGCUUUUGGUGAGGCACCUUCUGAGUCCCCUGGAACGGGGCGCCAUAGAGGGUGAGAGCCCCGUAUAGUCGGAUGCCGAUCCAAUGUAAAGCUCCUUCGACGAGUCGAGUAGUUUGGGAAUGCUGCUCAAAAUGGGAGGUAAAUUUCUUCUAAAGCUAAAUACCGGCCAGAGACCGAUAGCGCACAAGUAGAGUGAUCGAAAGAUGAAAAGCACUUUGAAAAGAGGGUUAAAUAGCACGUGAAAUUGUUGAAAGGGAAGCGUUUGUGACCAGACUUGCGCCGUUCCGAUCAUCCGGUGUUCUCACCGGUGCACUCGGGACGGCUCAGGCCAGCAUCGGUUUUGGCGGGGGGACAAAGGUCCUGGGAACGUAGCUCCUCCGGGAGUGUUAUAGCCCAGGGCGUAAUGCCCUCGCCGGGACCGAGGUUCGCGCAUCUGCAAGGAUGCUGGCGUAAUGGUCAUCAACGACCCGUCUUGAAACACGGACCAAGGAGUCAAGGUUUUGCGCGAGUGUUUGGGUGUAAAACCCGCACGCGUAAUGAAAGUGAACGUAGGUGAGAGCUUCGGCGCAUCAUCGACCGAUCCUGAUGUAUUCGGAUGGAUUUGAGUAAGAGCGUUAAGCCUUGGACCCGAAAGAUGGUGAACUAUGCUUGGAUAGGGUGAAGCCAGAGGAAACUCUGGUGGAGGCUCGCAGCGGUUCUGACGUGCAAAUCGAUCGUCAAAUCUGAGCAUGGGGGCGAAAGACUAAUCGA
rnacentral:rRNA from 1 species